AAAUUAAUCGUCCAAUAUACACAUGAUUUAAGACUCAAAAAUAUACAAACUAAAAGUAUGUAUGGCUACAUAAAUUAGAUCGCGAUUAACUAUAGACUACAGGGGAUAGCACAUAAAAUCACAUGGCUUCUUUUCACUUUGUUUUGAACUGGAAAAAUAUCUAAACAAAUUUUACACAGAAUCACGGGCUAGAAUGAAUCACGGUCAUCUUCUACCUCCUAACUGGUCCUUGUGUAGGGAAGACGACGAGCAGGCCAGAAGCUCAGCAACGAUUAGGGGAGGUCGGCGGGGCGUGCUCUGAGUCUGGUCGUCGGGGGCACGGUGUCGGGCUCCGGGCGUUCCUCGCCAGCGAUGGGGAGGCUCGGGGCAGCUAUCUGGCGACGACCAGAGGACGACGGGCGGCAGCUCGCGAGCAAGGAGAAGGGGGCGCGGGGAGAGGCAAGCCGACUGGGAUCUGGAACCAUGGAUGUUGAGGAAGAUUUUUAUAGAGGGAGAAGAGAGGGCACUGUGGAGCGAGAAGGCCGGUGGCGGCUAUUAAUGGCGCUAGCCCGUGGUGGUGGGGACAGAGAAACGGUGGCUGUUUUCGGCGCGUGGAGGCGGAGAGGUGAAGGGGGCAAGGCGUCGAGUGGCCGGGGAAGCAAGGCGGCGUGGCCACACGCGUGCAGGCGCUGGAAGAGGAAGAGGUCGUG
rnacentral:misc_RNA from 1 species